CUCAUGGACUCAGAACAUGAAGGUUAGCAUGGUUGGUAUAUAGUUCCUAUACCUUGGUGAGGCUCAGGAUCCUCAUAGACACGAGGAAGAGGAGGACAGGGUGGAAACAGGUAUUCUCUGGAUGACAAAUAUAUUUUUAGAGAUAUUGGGUGCUCACAGGGGACUUAGCUGCAAGCCUAAGGAUAGACAUAAACACUUGUCUUUGCCCUUUCAGAUGAAGCAAAUGCAGCAGAUCAGAGAAUCUUGCACUGAAGAAAGAGUGUGAUUCAGCAUUAUGACUUAUUUAUAGUCUCCACCUCGUAGGAAGGAAAAACAGAGGGACAGGGGUGAAAUCACAGGCUAAGUGAGGUCAGCAGAAUAACGUUCUUAGAGCUUCAUGCCAAAAUUUAGCAGCAGACAGAUUUCCAAGACUUCCUCAGUUCUUGAUCAUCAACAGCUUUCAUUAAUUCUGUGGAAAUUGCAGGGAGUGAAGCAUGCCUUGCUGAAGAGAACUCCGCGCUGGCAAAGCCCAGGACAUCCUUGGACCUGAUCCAUCACCAGCACCAGUUUGUGCACCUUUCAGAGAGGUUGUUUGCUUUUUGGAAGUUCCCUGUAGCAGCUCACUUUGGCAAAUAUGAAGCUCUUCCAGGCAUCCUGCCUUGACACCAUGUCCUCCCUUCCAUCAAGGCAAAAGUAGCUUCAAACAACACAGCCUUUUAGCAGCAUAAUGCAUUUCCAGGAGCAAUACCCCCCAUCUUUAUUCAUGAUGUGAAUGAUGGUAUGAGUAGUAAUAAUGAAACAGGGUUAUAAAGGUUUCCCAUUGUGAACUAGUAUUAAUCUAAUUUCCUACAGGAUGUUUAUCUAAGUCAGAAAUAGCCAAGCAGUUCAAAACACUUUGGCAAGUCUCUGAUGAAAAGAACCUGGGAAGUGUGAAGGGUUGCUGGAGAAUACUAAAUUGCAUUCACUCAGCUGUGCUGAGAAGCCUAAGCUGAUUCUUGCAGGGUUUUGCUAGGACCUAUCCAGUGCAAAUUGUCUUCUUAGUUUUAUGAAUGUUAAGAAUCAUCAA